CGUUCGCGCUUCCGCCGGCGACCGGCGCACGGGUGAGUAACACGUAUGGAACCUGCCCGCAGCAGGGGGAUAAUCGGGGGAAACCCCGUCUAAUACCGCGUAACGACCCGGAGGGGCAUCCCUUCGGGUCCAAAGGCUUACCGGCUGCGGAUGGCCAUGCGUCGCAUUAGCUUGUUGGCGGGGUAACGGCCCACCAAGGCGACGAUGCGUAGGGGUUCUGAGAGGAAGGUCCCCCACACUGGUACUGAGACACGGACCAGACUCCUACGGGAGGCAGCAG
rnacentral:rRNA from 1 species